GACUACACCCAGUGUGGCACAUAGUCACUUCUGCUGCCUGCUGAUCAAGAUGCAGAAUUCUGAGCUCCUUCUCCAGCACCAUGCCUACCUGGAUGCUGCCAUGUUCCCACCUUGAUGAUACUGGACUGAACCUCUAAACCUGUUGACCUGGAGAACUGGCUGGUCAAAGGUGUUUGGUCCUGGCUCCACCGCUGGCAGUUGCUUGCUUUGUCCUCUCGGAGUCUCAUGCCGUGUGGUGUCUCCCAGAACUCUGGGUGUAUGACCAUCCUGAAACCGGAUGAGAUCAUGAAGAACUGGACACUAUCAUAUGCAUGUCCUUGGGGCAUUGCCACACCAUGUGGUCAUCUACAAAGUUCAUAAAGAACAACUGCACAAUUGAGUUUCAAAUUUUUUUAAUUAAUUAUUAAUAAGUCGCAAGAAAUCUCAUGCU
ensembl:lincRNA Gm14275 predicted gene 14275